rnacentral:rRNA from 1 species
GGUAUCAUCCUUUCGGGGGUGAGAGAGUGGCGAACUGGUGAGUAACACGUAGGUUAUCUACCCUCAAGACGGGGACAACCCAGGGAAACUUGGGCUAAUACCGGAUGUGAGCAACUUUUAGUUGUUUGAAAGGUGGCGUAAGCUGUCGCUUGGGGAUGAGCCUGCGUCCUAUUAGUUAGUUGGUGAGGUAACGGCUCACCUAGGCAAUGAUAGGUAGGCGGCCUUAACGGGUGGUCGCCCACACUGGGAUUGAGAUACGGCCCAGACUCCUACGGGAGGCAGCAGUCGAGAAUAGUCUACAAUGGUCGGAAGACUGAUAGUGCGACGCCGCGUGAACGAUGAAUCCCUUCGGGGUGUAAAGUUCUUUUAUAUGUGAGCAGUGCUUCUUAUAUUAACAGUAUGGGGAGAGAGAUAUUAGCAUAUGAAUAAGCAACGGCUAACUCCGUGCCAGCAGCCGCGGUAACACGGGGGUUGCGAGCGUUGUCCGGAAUUACUAGGCGUAAAGGGCAGGCAGGCGGAUCCAUAAGUUUAUCGUUUAAGGCGUCGGCUUAACCGGCGUAGGGCGGUAGAUACUGUGGAUCUGGAAUGCGGUUGGGGAAGACAGAAUUCCUGGUGUAGCGGUGGGAUGCGC